CCUACGGGAGGCAGCAGUGGGGAAUAUUGCACAAUGGGGGAAACCCUGAUGCAGCAACGCCGCGUGGAGGAAGAAGCUUCUCGGCGCGUAAACCCCUUUUGUUAGGGAAGAUAAUGACGGUACCUGAAGAAGAAGCACCGGCUAACUCCGUGCCAGCAGCCGCGGUAAUACGGAGGGGGCAAGCGUUAUUCGGAUUAACUGGGCGUAAAGGGCGCGCAGGCGGGAUUGCAAGUCAGAAGUGAAAGCCCAGGGCUAAACCAAAGGACUGCAGUUGAAACUGCUUGGCUAGAGUGUAGGAGAGGUAGGCGGAAUUCUUGGUGUAGCGGUGAAAUGCGUAGAGAUCAGGAGGAAGACUGAUGGCGAAGGCGGCCUGCUGGAAUACAACUGACGUUGAGGCGCGAAAGCGUGGGGAGCAAACAGGAUUAGAUACCCGGGUAGUC
rnacentral:rRNA from 1 species